UACAGUCUGUAAGUCUGUAAAAUUUAUGCUAAUGCUUAUUGUUCUUACAAUUUAAUUUAAAAUAUAAAAUAUCAAAUGUGCUUCUGUGUAAUUUUUUUUAGUUAGCUCUCAAAUGUUUAUUAUCCACACAACUUUACUUCUGUUUUUUUAAAGAAGGCAUUUGUUGAUUUGUUGACCAACCCCAAAACCCACCUCCAUCAGGCCACACCUCAGCAUCAAUAUCUUUGUGCUGCUAACACAUACCCCUCAUUUCUCCUGAAGUCUUGCUCACGCAGCCAAGAGUGUAAGACUGAACGAAAUAUGUCUGGGACUCCUGGUGCACCCACAUACUUGGGUUGGUCCAUCUUUAACACAUUAUUCUGCUGUCUACCAAUUGGAAUUGCUGCAAUUGUGUUCUCGUGCCGGGCUGACACGGCUAACACCAUUGGUGAUAGUGCCACAGCUAAUGCGCAUUCCAGAAUGGCCAAGAACCUGAAUAUCGCUGCACUGGUCGUCGGCAUUGUUUUCAUCAUUAUCUAUAUUGUUUACUUUGCAACAAUUGGUAAACAGCAGCCAUGAAUACACAUAAAAGGCAAUGGGGACAGAUGUGUCACAAUGUCAUUUUUACAUAUGUCUUACAGUGGUUCAAUACACAUUCCAUUUGAGUCAAGUUUUAUUUUAUUUUUUUUCCUUUUUCCUUUUUUUUUAGGUUUGUUGUUUAUUUCAUUUAUGAUUAAAAUAAACUUUGUAUUGCAUGUCAUCCUGCAAUCUUUUUAUGAUCAAAGAACUAUGGAAAGUCUGUAAAAUUACACUGUUAUGUUACAAUAUUUUCAAGAUGUCAUUUUUAAAAUAAAAUCUAAAAUCUA